rnacentral:rRNA from 1 species
GACGAACGCUGGCGGCGUGCUUAACACAUGCAAGUCGAGCGGUAAGGCCCUUUCGGGGGUACACGAGCGGCGAACGGGUGAGUAACACGUGGGUGACCUGCCCUCAGCUCUGGGAUAAGCCUGGGAAACCGGGUCUAAUACCGGAUAUGACUCCAUGACGCAUGUUGUGGGGUGGAAAGCCUUGUGCGGCUGAGGAUGGGCCCGCGGCCUAUCAGCUUGUUGGUGGGUGAUGGCCUA